rnacentral:rRNA from 1 species
GGGAAGGUAAAAGUCGUAACAAGGUCUCCGUUGGUGAACCAGCGGAGGGAUCAUUAUCGAGUUUAUCCAACUCCCAACCCUAUGUGAACCUACCUUUAUGUUGCUUCGGCGGUCUCGCGCCGGGUUACUCCCCUAGGGGCUCCCGGGACCACGCGUCCGCCGGAGACCACAAACUCUUGAUUUUGCGAAAGCAGUAUUAUUCUGAGUGGCCGAAAGGCAAAAAACAAAUGAAUCAAAACUUUCAACAACGGAUCUCUUGGUUCUGGCAUCGAUGAAGAACGCAGCGAAAUGUGAUAAGUAAUGUGAAUUGCAGAAUUCAGUGAAUCAUCGAAUCUUUGAACGCACAUUGUGCCCGCCAGCAUUCUGGCGGGCAUGCCUGUUCGAGCGUCAUUUCAACCCUCGAGCUCGUCUUCAUUGACGGGAUCGGUGUUGGGACCCGGCGAGCGGGGACUUUUGUCCUCUGCCGGCCCCGAAAUUCAGUGGCGGCCCGUUGCGGCGACCUCUGCGUAGUAACUCAACCUCGCACCGGUAACAGCAUCGUGGCCACGCCGUAAAACCCCCGACUUUUAUAAGGUUGACCUCGAAUCAGGUAGGACUACCCGCUGAACUUAAGCAUAUCAAUAAGCGGAGGA